rnacentral:rRNA from 1 species
AUUGAACGCUGGCGGCAGGCCUAACACAUGCCAGUCGAGCGGAUGAAGGGAGCUUGCUCCUGGAUUCAGCGGCGGACGGGUGAGUAAUGCCUAGGAAUCUGCCUGGUAGUGGGGGAUAACGUCCGGAAACGGGCGCUAAUACCGCAUACGUCCUGAGGGAGAAAGUGGGGGAUCUUCGGACCUCACGCUAUCAGAUGAGCCUAGGUCGGAUUAGCUAGUUGGUGGGGUAAAGGCCUACCAAGGCGACGAUCCGUAACUGGUCUGAGAGGAUGAUCAGUCACACUGGAACUGAGACACGGUCCAGACUCCUACGGGAGGCAGCAGUGGGGAAUAUUGGACAAUGGGCGAAAGUCUGAUCCAGCCAUGCCGCGUGUGUGAAGAAGGUCUUCGGAUUGUAAAGCACUUUAAGUUGGGAGGAAGGGCAGUAAGUUAAUACCUUGCUGUUUUGACGUUACCAACAGAAUAAGCACCGGCUAACUUCGUG